rnacentral:rRNA from 1 species
UUUGGUGGUCAUAGCGCGAGCAAAACACCCGAUCCCAUUCCGAACUCGGCAGUUAAGUGCCGUAGCGCCGAUGGUACUGCGUCUCAAGACGUGGGAGAGUAGGUCGCCGCCAAAC